AACUAGCAUCUCGAGUGGCAGCCACAUUUACUGGGCUUAGAGCGUCCGUAGCUCGUUCAGAAAGUCCCCGGUGAAAUCCUACGGCUUAACCGUAGGGCUUGCCAGGGAAACUCCUGGACUUGAAGGCAGGAGAGGUCAGGGGUACUUCUGGGGUAGGGGUGAAAUCCUAUAAUCCUAGAAGGACCAACAGUGGCGAAGGCGCCUGACGUGAAUGCGCUUGACAGUGAGGGACGAGAGCCAGGGUC
rnacentral:rRNA from 1 species